UCCGUGAGGUGUUGCCUUAAGUGGCGCAACGAGCGCAACCCUUGUCCUUAGUUGCCAGCGGGUAAAGCCGGGAACUCUAGGGAGACUGCCGGUGCCAAACCGGAGGAAGGUGGGGAUGACGUCAAGUCAUCAUGCCCCUUAUGUCCAGGGCUGCACGCAUGCUACAAUGCGCGGUACAAAGGGCUGCGAUCCCGCAAGGGGGAGCGAAUCCCAAAAAGCCGCGCUCAGUUCGGAUCGGGGUCUGCAACCCGACCCCGUGAAGUCGGAGUCGCUAGUAAUCGCAGAUCAGCAAUGCUGCGGUGAAUACGUUCCCGGGCCUUGUACACACCGCCCGUCACACCACGAAAGUGGGCAACACCCGAAGCCGGUGGCCCAACCCUUUGGGGAGGGAGCCGUCGAAGGUGGGGCUCGCGAUUGGGGUGAAGUCGUAACAAGGUAGCCGUACCGGAAGGUGCGGCUGGAUCACCUCCUUUCUAAGGAGCCACUUGGCACUCCGGUCUGGUCGGACGCACGUGCCGACGACCGGAAACUCCAGGUCGGUGCACUGGCUACUCGGCAGGCGAGCUCGCUCGAGCCGUUCGCAAGUACGUCGCCCCCAGGAACCUUGAAGGAACGCUGGAGGCGAAGUGGAACGCGAUCGGGGAGGGCGAGGGAGUCCGCCGGGCACACUGUUCAGCUCUGGGGGUGCGAGCCUCCGAGCACCUUGAGAACUCGAUAGCGAGCGCGAGCAUCUACAGUCAAGUUACUAAGGGCUUACGGUGGAUGCCUUGGCGCCAGGAGCCGAUGAAGGACGCGUCUGGCUGCGAAAAGCUUCGGGGAGCCGCCGAGAAGGCUUUGAUCCGAAGGUGU
rnacentral:sRNA from 1 species